rnacentral:rRNA from 1 species
UACCAGCUCUCCGAGUUGUAGGGAUGAUUAUUGGGCUUAAAGCGUCCGUAGCCGGCUUGGCAAGUCUCCUGUUAAAUUCAGCGACCUAAUCGUUGAGCCGCGGGAGAUACUACUAGGCUAGGAGGCGGGAGAGGUCGACGGUACUUUCGGGGUAGGGGUGAAAUCCUAUAAUCCCGGGAGGACCACCAGUGGCGAAGGCUGUCGACUAGAACGCGCUCGACGGUGAGGGACGAAAGCUGGGGGAGCGAACCGGAUUAGAUACCCGGGUAGUCCCAGCUGUAAACGAUGCGGGCUAGGUGUUGGGGUGGCUACGGGCCACUUCAGUGCCGCAGGGAAGUCAUUAAGCCCGCCGCCUGGGGAGUACGGCCGCAAGGCUGAAACUUAAAGGAAUUGGCGGGGAGCACCACAAGGCGUGAAGCUUGCGGUUC